rnacentral:rRNA from 1 species
UAGGGAAUCUUCGGCAAUGGGGGCAACCCUGACCGAGCAACGCCGCGUGAGUGAAGAAGGUUUUCGGAUCGUAAAGCUCUGUUGUAAGAGAAGAACGUGUGUGAGAGUGGAAAGUUCACACAGUGACGGUAACUUACCAGAAAGGGACGGCUAACUACGUGCCAGCAGCCGCGGUAAUACGUAGGUCCCGAGCGUUGUCCGGAUUUAUUGGGCGUAAAGCGAGCGCAGGCGGUUUAAUAAGUCUGAAGUUAAAGGCAGUGGCUUAACCAUUGUUCGCUUUGGAAACUGUUAAACUUGAGUGCAGAAGGGGAGAGUGGAAUUCCAUGUGUAGCGGUGAAAUGCGUAGAUAUAUGGAGGAACACCGGUGGAGAAAGCGGCUCUCUGGUCUGUAACUGACGCUGAGGCUCGAAAGCGUGGGGAGCAAACAGG